rnacentral:rRNA from 1 species
AUUGAACGCUGGCGGCAGGCUUAACACAUGCAAGUCGAGCGGGGUGAUGGUGCUUGCACUAUCACUUAGCGGCGGACGGGUGAGUAAUGCUUAGGAAUCUGCCUAUUAGUGGGGGACAACAUCUCGAAAGGGAUGCUAAUACCGCAUACGUCCUACGGGAGAAAGCAGGGGAUCACUUGUGACCUUGCGCUAAUAGAUGAGCCUAAGUCGGAUUAGCUAGUUGGUGGGGUAAAGGCCUACCAAGGCGACGAUCUGUAGCGGGGCUGAGAGGAUGGUCCGACACAAUGGGACUGAGACACGGGCCAGACUCCUUCGGGAGGCAGCAGUGGGGAAUAUUGGACAAUGGGGGUAACCCUGAUCCAGCCAUGCCGCGUGUGUGAAGAAGGCCUUAUGGUUGUAAAGCACUUUAAGCGAGGAGGAGGCUCUUUUGGUUAAUACCCAAGAUGAGUGGACGUUACUCGCAGAAUAAGCACCGGCUAACUCUGUGCCAGCCGCCGCGGUAA